rnacentral:rRNA from 1 species
AUUGAACGCUGGCGGCAGGCCUAACACAUGCAAGUCGAGCGAGCGGCGGACGGGUGAGUAAUGUAUGGGGAUCUGCUCGAUAGAGGGGGAUAACUACUGGAAACGGUAGCUAAUACCGCAUACCAUCAGAUGAACCCAUAUGGGAUUAGCUUGUAGGUGAGGUAACGGCUCACCUAGGCGACGAUCCCUAGCUGGUCUGAGAGGAUGAUUGGCAACACUGGAACUGGGACACGGUCCAGAUUCCUACGGGAGGCAGCAGUGGGGAAUAUUGAACAAUGGGCGCAAGCCUGAUGCAGCCAGGCCGCUUGUAUGAAGAAGGCCUUCGGUUUUUAAAGUACUUUCAGCGAGGAGGCGUUACUCGCAGAAGAAGCACCGGCUAACUCCGUGCCAGCAGCCGCGGUAAUUC